UCCCUGGAGGACUAGUGAUUAGGCCUUGGUGUGCUUACUGCCAUGGCCCAGGUUCGAUUCCCGGCUAGGGAA